GGAAAUCCAGUGCAAAACGGGUGUGUGAGUCUGACUGACAGUCAGAAGGUCAACGGUUUGAUCCCGUCCGUCUCCACCA
rnacentral:tRNA from 1 species